rnacentral:rRNA from 1 species
ACUCAAAGGAAUUGACGGGGGCUCACACAAGCGGUGGAGCAUGUGGCUCAAUUCGAAGCAACGCGAAGAACCUUAUCCUAGGUUUGACAUGCACGGAUUAACUCCCUGAAAGGGGAGCCAGGCCUUCGGGUACAACGUGCACAGGUGCUGCAUGGCUGUCGUCAGCUCGUGCUGUGAAGUGUCGGGUUAAGUCCCUUAACGAGCGAAACCCCUGUCGUUAGUUGCUAACAGGUUAUGCUGAGGACUCUAACGAGACUGCCGGCGUCAAGUCGGAGGAAGGUGGGGAUGACGUCAAGUCCUCAUGGCCUUUAUGCCUAGGGCUGCACACGUGCUACAAUGGCGCGCACAGAACGACGCAAGACCGCAAGGUGGAGCAAAUCGCUCAAAUCGCGCCCCAGUUCGGAUUGAGGGCUGCAACCCGCCCUCAUGAAGUCGGAAUCGCUAGUAAUCGCGGAUCAGCUACGCCGCGGUGAAUAUGUUCCUGAGCCUUGUACACACCGCCCGU